rnacentral:rRNA from 1 species
UACGAAGGUCCCAAGCGUUAUCCGGAUUUAUUGGGUUUAAAGGGUGCGAAGGCGGACUGUUAAGUCAGUGGUGAAAGCUCCAUGCCUAACAUGGAAAUUGCCAUUGAUACUGACGGUCUUGAGUACAUUUGAAGUGGGCGGAAUGUGUCAUGUAGCGGUGAAAUGCUUAGAUAUGACACAGAACACCGAUUGCGUAGGCAGCUCACUAAACUGUAACUGACGCUGAGGCACGAAAGCGUGGGGAGCAAACAGG